rnacentral:rRNA from 1 species
UACGUAGGGUGCGAGCGUUAAUCGGAAUUACUGGGCGUAAAGCGUGCGCAGGCGGUGAUGUAAGACAGGUGUGAAAUCCCGGGCUUACCUGGGAACUGCAUUUGUGACUGCAUCGCUGGAGUGCGGCAGAGGGGGAUGGAAUUCCGCGUGUAGCAGUGAAAUGCGUAGAUAUGCGGAGGACACCGAUGGCGAAGGCAUCCCUGGGCCUGCACUGACGCUCAUGCACGAAAGCGUGGGGAGCAAACAGG